AUUGAACGCUGGCGGCAGGCCUAACACAUGCAAGUCGAGCGGAGCGGCGGACGGGUGAGUAAUGCCUAGGAAUCUGACUGGUAGUGGGGGAUAACGUCCGGAAACGGGCGCUAUUACCGCAUCCUCUCAGAUGAGGCUGGGUCGGAUUAGCUAGUGGUAGGGGUAAAGGCAUACCAAGGCGACGCUCCGUAUCUGGUCUGAGAGGAUGAUCAGUCACACUGGAACUGAGACACGGUCCAGACUCCUACGGGAGGCAGCAGUGGGGAAUAUUGGACAAUGGGCGAAAGCCUGAUCCAGCCAUGCCGCGUGUGUGAAGAAGGUCUUCGGGUUGUAAAGCACUUUAAGUUGGGAGGCGUUACCAACAGAAUAAGCACCGGCUAACUUCGUGCCAGCAGCCGCGGUAAUAC
rnacentral:rRNA from 1 species